CUUGGUUCAGGACGAACGCUGGCGGCGUGCCUAAUACAUGCAAGUCGAACGGCUUUUCUAUGGAAGCUUGCUUCCACUGAGAAGAUAGUGGCGAACGGGUGAGUAACACGUGGGUAACCUGCCCAUAAGAGGGGGAUAACAUCCGGAAACGGGUGCUAAUACCGCAUAGUUUUCUUGAUCGCAUGAUUGAGAAAGGAAAGACGGCCUUUGUGCUGUCGCUUAUGGAUGGACCCGCGGCGUAUUAGUUAGUUGGUGAGGUAACGGCUCACCAAGACGAUGAUACGUAGCCGACCUGAGAGGGUGAUCGGCCACAUUGGGACUGAGACACGGCCCAAACUCCUACGGGAGGCAGCAGUAGGGAAUCUUCCGCAAUGGACGAAAGUCUGACGGAGCAACGCCGCGUGAGUGAAGAAAGGUUUUCGGAUCGUAAAACUCUGUUGUCAGAGAAGAACAAGUUGGAGAGUAACUGCUCCAGCCUUGACGGUAUCUGACCAGAAAGCCACGGCUAACUACGUGCCAGCCGCCGC
rnacentral:rRNA from 1 species